rnacentral:rRNA from 1 species
UGAAACUGAUCUUCCCGUGAAGAAGCGGGAAUAUAUAUAUAAGACGAGAAGACCCCAUGGAGCUUUAAACCCAACAGCACCUAUUCUUUUUAAGCCCGCCCAUUCAUAUAGUAAAUGCUUGUUUGGUUUUAGGUUGGGGUGACCGCGGAGUAAAAAUUAACCUCCACGAAAAAAGGCAUAAAAGCCUUAUCAAAGAAUUACACUUCUAUGAAUUAGUAAACUAAUUUUUGAUGAUCCGAUAUUCGAUCAACGAACCAAGUUACCCUGGGGAUAACAGCGCAAUCCACCUCAAGAGCUCCUAUCGACAAGUGGGUUUACGACCUCGAUGUUGGAUCAGGGUACCCCAGUGGUGCAGCAGCUACUAAAGGUUCGUUUGUUCAACGAUUAAAACCCU